rnacentral:lncRNA from 1 species
AAAACAACAAAUUCCAAUUCUAGAGGUGUGAGAUUAAAGAUCGUUUCUUUACUCCAUUACAAACCACCUAAAUGAAGUAAAAGUUCCCAACUUUCUCAAAACCCAAUACCAGCACACAACAAAUAAACAUCAACAAACAAAAAAAAGUGUUCCCUCAGAAAGAAAAAAACCUCAUUACUCAACAAGCACCUAAAACAACAAAUUCCAAUUCUAGAGGUAUGAGUUAAAGAUCGUUUCUUUACUCCAUUACAAAACCACUUAAAUGAAGUUAAAGUUCCCAACUUUCUCAAAACCCAAUAUCAGCACACAACAAAUAAACAUCAACAAACAAAAAAAAAACGUCAUGCAAGAAACACUCAGCAAACUCACACAAGUUAAAACCUAUAAAACUAGGCUAAAACCAAACAAACCAAAAACAUCCUCAAGAAAAUAACUUCACAGACUUCAAUUUCAACACAAACCCACAAAGUAAAACAAAAGAAAGAACCUCAACAACAACAGUAUUACCAAAAUCAACCACUCUAAAAGAAAAAAGGAAA